GGAAGCGUGGCUUUCAUAGUGUGGUGAGCUUGGGCCCUCCUCCAUCAUCCCCUCCCUCUUGAAAAGGAUUUGUCCUCAAAUCCAAGGCUUUUGCUUGGGGGAUGGUUGUGGCUGGAUGGUGUCCAUCAUCUCCUCCUUCAUGAGAAGAUCUAUCCUCAGAUGUGCAUUCUUGAUCUCGGAUAGCAGCCUCUUGCUUCGUCAAGAUGUAUCCUCCCGGAUCAAAUGUCAAUCUAUGUGAAUCCUGAAACAAAGCAAAGGAGUU
rnacentral:lncRNA from 1 species